rnacentral:sRNA from 1 species
AGACAGUGAUCAUGAUUUUUUAGUGGACGAAGACGUCAAGAGGAAAAUUAAUGGCCAUUGGAGCAAGUGGGAAGCCUGGCACUGUAACAAUGACACACAUCAGACAAGGGCGCGCUACUGCAACUCUCCUGAACCUGAGCAUGGUGGCAACAUGUGUCAAGGAACGUCUAAUGAAAGUAUAUUUUUCAACCUGUGUGGGACAUUAAG